rnacentral:sRNA from 2 species
UGUCAACGCAUUUCUGUAACCAUAACCACGAUUCCGGAGAUAUACUAGAGUUGUGCUAUCUACAGCAUGCAACUACGAUUUGCGAGCCAAACAAAGAAGAAAAUCGGAGCCUCGUUUAAGAAAAAUUAGUUUAGUUUGCCUUUUUUUAAAAAAAAAAAAAAUACAACCGCCAUCCAAUAAUUUCUACGAAGAGUUGAUAUUUAUGAGCGAAAGAGGGACACAGAUAGAUACUCGUGGAAGGAGGGCUGAAAAACGGAUUCACUUCUGAUUUUGAUUUUAACUUUUAUCGUUUUCGUUUCAUUCGUUCGAAAAUACUCCCAAAAUGUGAUUUUGUUAGGGAAAAAAAAAAAAAGACCAAAAGACAAG